AGUGAACGCUGGCGGUAGGCCUAACACAUGCAAGUCGAACGGCAGCACAGUAAGAGCUUGCUCUUACGGGUGGCGAGUGGCGGACGGGUGAGGAAUACAUCGGAAUCUACUUUUUCGUGGGGGAUAACGUAGGGAAACUUACGCUAAUACCGCAUACGACCUACGGGUGAAAGCAGGGGAUCUUCGGACCUUGCGCGAUUGAAUGAGCCGAUGUCGGAUUAGCUAGUUGGCGGGGUAAAGGCCCACCAAGGCGACGAUCCGUAGCUGGUCUGAGAGGAUGAUCAGCCACACUGGAACUGAGACACGGUCCAGACUCCUACGGGAGGCAGCAGUGGGGAAUAUUGGACAAUGGGCGCAAGCCUGAUCCAGCCAUACCGCGUAGGUGAAGAAGGCCUUCGGGUUGUAAAGCCCUUUUGUCGGGAAAGAAAAGCAGCAGGUUAAUACCCCGCUGUUCUGACGGUACCCAAAGAAUAAGCACCGGCUAACUUCAUG
rnacentral:rRNA from 1 species